CAAAAAGGAACGACGGCUAAAGACGCGACACCGUGUCGCAACGCCCUCACUAGCACAUCAUGUGCG
rnacentral:sRNA from 1 species